AAACCCAAACAAACACUUAAUUUUGUUCGGAUUUUUAUUUAUUUUUAGCAAUUUUUUUUAUACAUUUUAAUUAAUUUAUUUUACUUUUUAAACACAUCUACAAUGCAUUUAAAAUGGAAAAAAAAUUUAUUAUCAUAUAAAAAAAUUCAUUAAAAACAAACAAAAAAAAUCAUCUUAAAAAUAGGAUUUGAAAAAUUAAACAAAAAAAGCAUAAAUAUCCAUAAUAGGGGUGUGCAGCGGAUGAGCCGACCCGCCACAUCUGCUUGACCAGACCUGACACAUUUUGAGUGGAUGUGUGACAUAUGGCGGGUAGAUACAAGUCCAAAAAUAUCAUUUUUGCGGGUGCAUGUUGGGUUGCAGAUAAACCGCCAAAUUAACUGACUUACGCGACCUGCUUGCCCAAACUUAAUUUUGCCCCCCCAUUUUUCCCUUUGUCUUGCCCCUUUUUUUUCAUUUCAUUUCAGGUUUGUAGAGCCCUAGGUUUCGAAACAACACUGUAUGUCUCUCUCUCUCUCUCUCAUUUGAACGGAGGCAAGCGACGAGCGGCGAUCGGCGACAGUGGUGGCUAGCAACAAUCAGCGAUUGGCGAUAGUGGCGGCGAGCAGCGAUCAAAUCAUCAAUUCGAAGAUGAGCAGUGUUACAGGGAAGGCACCUGCACCAGGUCAGGCCGUAUACUCUGCUUCUAAAUUUGCUCUAAAUGGGAUACUUUCACACCCUGCGCUCUGAGUGCGAUUUGCAGGAACUGUGUUUGAUCAACGGUUGCUGAUGAGGGAUUCGCCAAUUCUACAACGGUUCACGUAGGUCGAUCUCGGGAGAUUAGAGAUCAGAAUCGUUCAUGGUGCACAGAUUUGAGUUGAAACCCUAUGUCGAAAGAGGGAAGAGAAGCUUGCGGAGGCUCUGGAGGAUGAUGAAGUCAUGGAGAGGUAACGGUCGAGGACGAAGUUGACGGAGGGGUUGCCGAAGGCGAAGGUGUUGCCGGCGUUGGAGAAGGUGAUGAUGGCGGCUUCGGUGCCGCACAAGUUGCAGAGCUUGCCGGUCUUCUUAAAGAGGCCAACUGUGGAAAGGAAGAGAGUGGGGAAGAGAGUGGGCAUAAUAGUCAUAUAAAAUAUUUAAAUAAUAAAUUUGUCCUUUAUGCAACACUUUAUAAUUAUGAGGGGGUUUAGAAAGUAUAAUUUUUUUCUUAGUCCUUUUAACAAUGAAAGGAAGGUAAAGGGUGUUUAUAGCCAAAUUUUCCUAUUUUAUAUUCCAAGAUGGGAUAAUUACACUUUGGGGGUGUUUGGGAAGAAAACAAAUAGCCAAAUUUAGGCUAAAAAUCACAAAAAGACAAAAUAGGCUAAAAUAGCUAAUAAGACAAAAUAU